AAUUUUGGUCAAUGGGGGAAACCCUGAUCCAGCCAUCCCGCGUGUAUGAUGAAGGCCNNNGGGUUNUCAAGUACUUUUGGCAGNGACNAAAAGGUAUCUCCUAAAACGAGUUACUGCUGAUGGUAUUUGCAGAAUAAGCAUCGCUUACCUACGUGCCAGCAGCCGCGGUAAUACGUAGGGUGCAAGCGUUAAUCGGAAUUACUGGGCGUAAAGCGUGUGUAGGCGGUUCGGCAAGGAAGAUGUGAAAUCCCAGGGCUCAACCUUGGAACUGCAUUUUUAACUGCCGAGCUAGAGUAUGUCAGAGGGAAGUAGAAUUCCACGUGUAGCAGUGAAAUGCGUAGAUAUGUGGAGGAAUACCGAUGGCGAAGGCAGCCCCCUGGGAUAAUACUGACGCUCAGACACGAAAGCGUGGGGAGCAAACA
rnacentral:rRNA from 1 species